GACGAACGCUGGCGGCGUGCUUAACACAUGCAAGUCGAACGGAAAGGCCCUGCUUUUGUGGGGUGCUCGAGUGGCGAACGGGUGAGUAACACGUGAGUAACCUGCCCUUGACUUUGGGAUAACUUCUGGAAACUGGGGCUAAUACCGGAUAGGAGCUCCUGCUGCAUGGUGGGGGUUGGAAAGUUUCGGCGGUUGGGGAUGGACUCGCGGCUUAUCAGCUUGUUGGUGGGGUAGUGGCUUACCAAGGCUUUGACGGGUAGCCGGCCUGAGAGGGUGACCGGCCACAUGGGGACUGAGAUACGGCCCAGACUCCUACGGGAGGAAGCAGUGGGGAAUAUUGCACAAUGGGAGGAAGCAUGAUGCAGCAACGCAGCGAGCGGGAUGACGGCCUUCGGGUUGUAAACAGCUUUCGCCUGUGACGAAGAGUGAGUGACGGUAAUGGGUAAAGAAGCACCGGCUAACUACGUG
rnacentral:rRNA from 1 species